UACGUAGGGUGCAAGCGUUAAUCGGAAUACUGGGCGUAAAGCGUGCGCAGGCGGUGAUGUAAGACAGAUGUGAAAUCCCCGGGCUCAACCUGGGAACUGCAUUUGUGACUGCAUCGCUAGAGUACGGCAGAGGGGGAUGGAAUUCCGCGUGUAGCAGUGAAAUGCGUAGAUAUGCGGAGGAACACCGAUGGCGAAGGCAGCCCCCCUGGGCUAGCACUGACGCUCAGGCACGAAAGCGUGGGGAGCAAACAGG
rnacentral:rRNA from 1 species